ACAAAAUCCAGACGAAUGUGUGAUGGCAUCUUGAAACGAAAAGAGCCAGCUGAGACCUCUUUUGUGUGAGGGCGGCUCAGUACGGGAGGCUUCAGUGUUGCCUCAUGGCUCCAGAGCCCCUAAUCAGUUGAUGGUGUGCACAUGUGACUGAUCAGCAACUACUUAAACUCAGGAGUGUGAGCUGAUCCCAAUAAGACUCUACGUCCCUCUGUGUUGUUCACAAACCAGUUUCCGAGCAAGACAAGACCUCUGGUCUAAAACUCUCUGCCGCCUCCUGUAGCUUGAAGAUGGCAGCAAUGCCGGCUGUCAACAGACCAACUCAUCCAGGACCUAUUGGCGGGAACUUGCAGACUUGCAUUAAUAGCGGUGGACCAACCUCUCACCCCCAAGGCCCAGGACUACACAGCCAAGAUCCAGGACUUUCAUCCUAUCUCCAACAGCCCAUGGCUGCCCGGCCUGUCUUCUAUGUACAUGGUCCACCCCCACCACAUUUCCUCCACUACCAGUGGCCCAUGCCCUUCUCCUAUAACCCGUUUGCGGGCUUCCCAGGCAUGGGCUAUGGUAUGGUAAUGCCCCCAUUCCAUCCUCCUCCUCCUCCCUACAUGGAGGCACCAACCUACGUUCUUCCCAACACUCACAUGCAACCAGUUGAUUACAGACGUUUCAUGCACCCCCAGGUGCACGUU